rnacentral:rRNA from 1 species
UACGGAGGGGGCUAGCGUUGUUCGGAAUUACUGGGCGUAAAGCGCGCGCAGGCGGCUUUGUAAGUUAGAGGUGAAAGCCCGGAGCUCAACUUCGGAAUUGCCUUUAAGACUGCAUCGCUUGAAUCAUGGAGAGGUCAGUGGAAUUCCGAGUGUAGAGGUGAAAUUCGUAGAUAUUCGGGAGAACACCAGUGGCGAAGGCGACUGACUGGACAUGUAUUGACGCUGAGGUGCGAAAGCGUGGGGAGCAAACAGG